GUGCCAGCAGCCGCGGUAAUACGAGGGGUGCAAGCGUUAUUCGGAAUUACUGGGCGUAAAGGGUGUGUAGGUGGUGUAUUAAGUCUGUUGUUAAAUCUCCUGGCUUAACUGGGAAAUCGUGAUGGAAACUAAUACGCUAGAGUGUGAGAGAGAGAAGUGGAAUUCUCGGAGUAGCGGUAAAAUGCGUAGAUAUCGAGAGGAACACCGAUGGCGAAAGCAGCUUCUUGGCUCACUACUGACACUGAAACACGAAAGCGUGGGGAGCAAACAGGAUUAGAUACCCCGGUAGUCC
rnacentral:rRNA from 1 species